rnacentral:rRNA from 1 species
UACGUAGGGUGCGAGCGUUGUCCGGAAUUAUUGGGCGUAAAGAGCUUGUAGGCGGUUUGUCGCGUCUGCUGUGAAAAUCCGGGGCUCAACCCCGGACUUGCAGUGGGUACGGGCAGACUAGAGUGUGGUAGGGGAGACUGGAAUUCCUGGUGUAGCGGUGAAAUGCGCAGAUAUCAGGAGGAACACCGGAUGGCGAAGGCAGGUCUCUGGGCCACUACUGACGCUGAGAAGCGAAAGCAUGGGGAGCGAACAGG